UUUCUUCAUCUUCUUCUUCUGACUUUGUCUCAUGCUCUUUCUCUAUCGUUAUAUGUCUGUCAGUCCGUCCAAUAUUUCUUAUCUUGACCUUAGUUGUCCGUACAACGGUGUUCAACUAAAAGAAGUAGAUAUUUCAUUUUAGUUUUUAUAAAGAAACCACCCUCCAUUCUCUUGGUUUAGGCCUUCAUUUUUUAUAGGAU
rnacentral:lncRNA from 1 species